GAGGAGCCUGGAGGGCUACAAUCCAUCGGGUUGCACAGAAUCAGACAUGACUAAAGCAGCUCUAACUUAAAGAGGACAAGAAAAAACAGAAGGUUCUAAGUGUAAUCCUCUUCUGAGAAAAUAAAUUGAGCAGACCCUGUUGAAGACAAUUAAUGAUGUCAUGAAGCCACCACAGAUAGGAUGAAGGCCUGAUAUAGAUAACUGGGGAACUGGUAAACAAGCUAUACUGUCUGCUCUGGAGUUGGAGAAUGUGUUAAACACGCUCCUGCAAGACCUGAAGGCCUCAGCUUCUAGGAAUAGAGAAACCAAUCUCUUACGCUUCAUGAAAAAGUACCUGGAUGAACAGACCAGGAACAUAAGCUAUCUGGAAUACCAGCUUAACUAUCAGAAGGAGUUGGAAACGUCAGCCCAGAGUGAAGGACAGCCUGAAAAUGUCGCCGGACCAUCUGGAGCAUCAGGUCAAAAGACAGAAUCUGCCGGCAACUCUCCGAGUCCUCCUGCCCAGAAGAUCCCAAAGCCAGCUCCUUAAGAAUCCUGAUCUCCAUUUGACAGAAGAGCAGAACUGAGUCUGAUUAAGAGGAAUAUUACAAAUGCAGUCUACUAGAAUGGAAGCAUACAGACACGUAAGGCUCUCUAGGAUCCUGCCUGUUA